rnacentral:rRNA from 1 species
AUACGGAGGGUGCAAGCGUUACUCGGAAUCACUGGGCGUAAAGGACGCGUAGGCGGGUUGGUAAGUCAGGUGUGAAAUCCUACAGCUUAACUGUAGAACUGCACUUGAAACUACCAACCUAGAGUAUGGGAGGGGGAGAUGGAAUUAGUGGUGUAGGGGUAAAAUCCGUAGAUAUCACUAGGAAUACCGAAAGCGAAGGCGAUCUCCUGGAACAUAACUGACGCUAAGGCGUGAAAGCGUGGGGAGCAAACAGGAUUAGAAACCCGAGUAGUCC